rnacentral:rRNA from 1 species
UGGGGAAUAUUGCACAAUGGGCGCAAGCCUGAUGCAGCCAUGCCGCGUGUAUGAAGAAGGCCUUCGGGUUGUAAAGUACUUUCAGUCGGGAGGAAGGUGGUAAGGUUAAUAACCUUAUCAAUUGACGUUACCGACAGAAGAAGCACCGGCUAACUCCGUGCCAGCAGCCGCGGUAAUACGGAGGGUGCAAGCGUUAAUCGGAAUUACUGGGCGUAAAGCGCACGCAGGCGGUUGAUUGAGUCAGAUGUGAAAUCCCCGGGCUUAACCCGGGAAUUGCAUCUGAUACUGGUCAGCUGGAGACUUGUAGAGGGGGGUAGAAUUCCAUGUGUAGCGGUGAAAUGCGUAGAGAUGUGGAGGAAUACCGGUGGCGAAGGCGGCCCCCUGGACAAAGACUGACGCUCAGGUGCGAAAGCGUGGGGAGCAAACAGG